rnacentral:rRNA from 1 species
GACGAACGCUGGCGGCGUGCUUAACACAUGCAAGUCGAACGGUAAGGCCCUUCGGGGUACACGAGUGGCGAACGGGUGAGUAACACGUGGGCGAUCUGCCCUGCACUUCGGGAUAAGCCUGGGAAGCUGGGUCUAAUACCGGAUAGGACUCCGGACUGCAUGGUCUGGGGUGGAAAGCUUUUGCGGGGUGGGAUGGGCCCGCGGCCUAUCAGCUUGUUGGUGGGGUGAUGGCCUACCAGGGCGACGACGGGUAGCCGGCCUGAGAGGGUGACCGGCCACACUGGGACUGAGAUACGGCCCAGACUCCUACGGGAGGCAGCAGUGGGGAAUAUUGCACAAUGGGCGCAAGCCUGAUGCAGCGACGCCGCGUGAGGGAUGACGGCCUUCGGGUUGUAAACCUCUUUCAGCAUCGACGAAGCGAAAGUGACGGUAGGUGCAGAAGAAGGACCGGCCAACUACGUGCCAGCCGCCGCAGUAA